rnacentral:sRNA from 19 species
CUUUUAAAGCAAACAAAAUCACACGCGCAUCGGCACAUACUAUCGGGGUGCCUUUGGUCAGGUCGGUAUAUGGGAUGCGCGGAGGAAUAAC